CGGUUUAGCUCAGCUGGUAGAGCGGCUGAUUUGUAAUCAGUAGGUCGUUGGUUCAAGUCCGACAACCGG
rnacentral:tRNA from 1 species